UUGUAGUGACGAAGUGCUGAGAAGUAUUGCGAGAUUGAAUUGAAAGACAGAAAUGCACAGAAGGAGAAUUCGGAAGGCAAACAAUGGUACACACUCACUGGCUUCCUGAGACUGGAGCAUGUGAUCGAAAGAGAAAGAAAGAGGAGGGGAAGAAAGAAUGGCUUCGAUGCCAGGAGCUGAGUUUCGUUUCGACAAAAACUGAACUCAUUCCAACGUCCUAUCGCUGUCCUGCUUCUCAAAUAAAGGUAAACUGGACCCUUCAAGCCACGAGAAUCUCCACGCUUUCAAAAGUUAACCGAGACGACCCCUUACUUGCGCCCGCCGUUAGACGGCGUGACACCUGUUCCCUCCGGAAAACCACGGAAAAGUCGGAGGGGAAGACCGGCAUGAGAGAGGAGAGCCGAGGGAGUUGCGAAGGGACUGCGGGGAGUCCCGGAGUCCCUCUGAGCACCGCCAAAGUUUCUCCUGCUUUGCCCGUGGAGCCAAAAUGGCGGCGUGCGGCGUGGCAGCCGACGGCGAGCCAAGCGUUUACAAGCCCGAGGACGGCGGGGGAAGUAGAAGAGCGACGUGACGGGGCAGGGAAAUAGACGGCGAAGGUGUUUCAAAAGGGAAAAAUAUACCUACGUGAGCGGCGGCCUGGGCCCGAGGACCGGAGGAGAAGAGGGCCAUGAUGAAGGGAAGAGAGAGGAGUAGAGCACACCCUCUGAGAGCAACACCCCUUUUUUUUCCCACAAUCCCCUCCUACUGCCGCGAGUGCGCAUCCCAAAAUGAGCGCCGGCGUACUCCGAAGCCUCGGCGGCGAAGGAAACGGCCGCGGGUUGUAAACCUCGGCGUGAUCCAUUCGCCAGCUCGCCCUCUGCUUCGGCCUGCUCUCUUUUUCGCCUGCCUGCCUGCCUGCCCACUUUGGCACCGCUGACAAGAGGGAAAGAGAGUGAAGGGAGGGCGGCUGUACACACACACACACACAGAGAAAGAGGAAGGGAGGGACACGCUGUCUGUCGCGAGAGAGGGCGAACGCAGAGGAGGAGUCGGCGAGAGGAAGCGUGGAAAGAAAGAGCGUUCCAGUCACAAGUCACACGAAUUGUCGGGAGCGGUGACACAAACGUAGCAGCUGGGCCGCAUCGGCGGCGGCGCCACGCCGCUCGCCUCCUUCCAACGCCCCGCCGUGACCGGCAGAUGGCGCGAGAAACCAGCCGGCGGGCGCCAUAUUGCUCGCCAUGUUUGCUAACGGGAAACAACAAACAGACGGACGUUGGCGCUCAUCCCUUCUUAUUCAUGACCGACGUUAAUAUUUGAAAUGCCCAAUUUCAGUCCCUGCCUGCCGAGGACUUCAAGUGACCAAUCACGGGGCGCACCGCCCGACCAAUGCGAGCUCACGGCGGAGCUGACAUCAUUUCCAAAAAAUCGAGAAAACUCUUUUUGUCCUCCCACUUACUCUUUUUUUCACAUGCACCUGAUGAAGGCACUUGAUUAGAAGGACGGAUCUACAACCCCCCCCACCCAAGCCCUCCGUCGCUUCUUCGAAA